rnacentral:lncRNA from 1 species
UUUUUUUUCUUUCUCUCUCUCUCUCUGUGUAUAUUUGAGGGGGGAGCAUGCACAUUUCAAUUCUUUCCUGUAGUUCCAUUCUCCUCUUGCCUUUCUCUUUUACCUACUGAGCACUGUAGUCAGCUAAUUUCAGGGUGGGGGUGCAUUUUCGAUUCCCACUGGCUAAGACUGUGAUUUCAUCUAACAUCAUACUACUUCCUUGGGGUGGGAUAAGAACCCCAAUGCUCCUGGAUUAGAUGAAUCUUACAUAAUUCAACAUCUUUGCCAAGGAAACACCCUCUCAGCCGGGAUGGUCCUACCAAAAAGUACUUAAGCCUUUAACAGCAAAUUAGAAACUUUGAUGUCAAGUUAUUCUAACAUCCCCAUUAAAUUAUCAGUAAGUUAACUAAAGAAUUAUGGUUUAUAAAUAUCAUUGUCAUUUUAUACCAUUUUUAAAAGUAAAAGCUAAUUACCCAGAAGGAUGGCAAAGUCUAGCCAGAAAGCAGCAAGAUUCUGAAUAAAACCAAGACCAUUAGUUUUGACACUCUAUGCUAGAGUACUAAUUAAUGGAGCAUUUGCAUAUCAGUAAAAGACACACUACUAAAAAAAACCUUAUAUAUAUUUAUGAAUAAUUAUUGCUUACUAUUAGUAUUUAUUGAUAAAAAUAUACUGCAAAGAGCCUCUUCUUGGCUUGACUUUUGUUAGAGUGACAGACAAGAAUCCCCUGCCUUUACUUCUAUAAAAAUGUACACAUGUACAAACAUAUAUUUACAUGUGUUUCUUCUUUAAAAACUUUUAUUUUUUCAUAAUGAAUUUUAUUACAUUUAUAGAUGUGCAAUGAUCAUCACAACACAAUUUUACAGCAUUUUAAUCCCAAACCCUCAGUGCAUCCCACCCCCCAACCUGUCUUAUUUGGUAACAAUAAGUUUUUCAAAGUCUGUGAGUCAGUAUCUGUUAUGCAAAGAAGUUCAUUGUGUCCUUUUUUCAGAUUCCACAUGUGAGAGAUAGCAUUUGAUGUUGGUGUCUCAUUGUCUGACUGACUUCACUUAGCAUGAUAAUUCCUAGGUCCAUCCAUGUUGUUGCAAAUGCCAUUAUUUCUUUCCUCUUAUUGGGCUGAGUAAUAUUCCAUUGUGUAUAUAUGCACCACUUCUUCUACAUCCACGCCUCUGUCGAUGGACAUUUAGGUUGUUUCCAUGUCUUGGCGAUUGAAAAGAGUGCUGCAAUGAACAUCGGAGUACAUGUGUCUCUGCGAGUCGUAGUUUUUCUCUUGAUAGAUGCCCAGGAGAGUGGGAUUGCUCAUUCAAAUGGUAGUUCUAUUUCUAGUUUUCUGAGGAAUCUCCAUACUGUUUUCCACAGUGGUUGCACCAAUUUACUUUGUAACAGUGUACUAGUGUUCCUUUUUCUCCACACCCUCUCCAGCACUUAUUGUUUAUAGACUUUUUGAUGAUGGCCAUUCUGGCUGGUGUAAGGUAUUACCUCAUAGUGCUUUUGCUUUGCAUUUCUCUAAUAAUGAGGGAUGUUGAAUAUCUUUUCAUGUGCUUUUUGGCCAUCUGUAUGUCUUCUUUGGAGAAUUGUCUGUUUAGAUCUUCUGCCCAUUUUUUGAUGGUGUUGAUUAUUUUUUUGGUAUUGAGUGGUAGGAGGUGUUUAUAAAUUUUGGAGAUGAAUCCCUUGUCAGUCAAUUCAUUUGCAAAUAUUUUCUACCAUUCUGUGGGUUGUCUUUUCAUUUCGUUUAGGGUUUCCUUUGCUGUGCAGAAACAUUUAAGUUUAAUUAAGUCCCAUUUGUUCAUUUUUGUUUUUAUUAUCAUUACUCUAAAAGGUGGAUUUGAGAAGAUGCUGCUGUCAUUUAUGUGAGAAAGUGUUUGGCCUAUGUUUUCUUCUAAGAGUUUUAAUGUAUCUGGUCUUAUAUCUAGGUCUUUAAUCCAUUUUGAGUUUAUUUAUGUAUAUGGUGUUAGGAAGUGUUCUAAUUUCAUUCUUUUACAU